CCUACGGGUGGCAGCAGUGAGGAAUAUUGGUCAAUGGGCGCGAGCCUGAACCAGCCAAGUCGCGUGAGGGAAGACGGCCCUACGGGUUGUAAACCUCUUUUGCCGGGGAGCAACGGGCGCCACGUGUGGCGCCACUGAGAGUACCCGGAGAAAAAGCAUCGGCUAACUCCGUGCCAGCAGCCGCGGUAAUACGGGGGAUGCGAGCGUUAUCCGGAUUUAGUGGGUUUAAAGGGUGCGUAGGCGGAGCGGUAAGUCAGUGGAAAAAUGGAGGGGCAAAAACCCUGACCGACGUUGAAACUGGCGCUCUUGAGUGGAAGAGAGGUAUGCGGAAUGCGUGGUGUAGCGGUGAAAUGCAUAGAUAUUACGCAGAACCCCGAUUGCGAAGGCAGCAUGCCGGCUUCCUACUGACGCUGAAGCACGAAAGCGUGGGGAUCGAACAGGAUUAGAUACCCGGGUAGUC
rnacentral:rRNA from 1 species